rnacentral:sRNA from 1 species
GACUUUAGAAACCACAAUGAAAUCAGGGGAGAGCGCGAACGCAGUCCCCCACUACCACAAAUUAUGCAGUCGAGUUUCCCGCAUUUGGGGAAAUCGCAGGGGUCAGCACAUCCGGAGUGCAAUGGAUAAGCCUCGCCCUGGGAAAACCACCUUCGUGAUCAUGGUAUCUCCCCUGCCAGGUAAGUAUGAGUUGCUCGCCCAGCCAGCACGCCCUCCACCCACACGCACUCCUAUUAAACGCACGGUUCCCGCCUCCGCGCCACGGCCUCGGUCUCACGCCCCCCCACUCCUCUGCCGAGAUGCUUCCGCCUCACGGAAAUCACACGCCUGUCACGCGGUACACUCCACCCGAGACACGGCCCUUAAGGCUCUGCCGGACCGGCAGCCACUGCGCACGGCUUCAUCUGCGUACGCCCCGCCCACAGGCGGGUUUUUUUUUUUUCCUUUUUCUUUUUUUUUUCUUUCCCCCCCCUUUUUUCUUCCCCUGGCCUGCAGGAGACCGCGACGGUCACACAGUGGCCUGGAGCACACUAUACCAUAGUCCAUCAUUGGAGGGAGUCGGGACAGGAACUCAAGCAGGGCUUGAGAUAGGAGCUGACGCAGAGCCCAUGAAGGAGUACUGCUUACUGGCUUGAUUUCUUACGGAACCCAGGACCACCAGCCCAGGGAUGGCUCGCUGAUUGAUCACUAAUUGAGAAAAUGCCUUACAGCCGGAUCUCAUGGAGGCAUUUCCUCAACUGAGCUGAAACAGCUUCGGCCACGCACAUGAUACAGCUCUGACCAGUUAAGACACCAGUCAGUCCCGGGGGAGAGCAUCUGCCAGGAAACGAACAUCAAAGCCGCUGUUCCAAGUUUUCUGCCUCCCAACUGCUCUACUUGGAAAUCGGGCUGAGGCCUUGGAGAAGCAGGUGUUCGCCUCCGGGUCUCCGGGGCCUGGCCUUAAGCGCGCAGCGGCAGUCCUCGCGUCUGCUCUCUGUUUAGCCACGCGGCCUACCUAAGGCCAACAGGACCCGGGGGUCGUGUCCCAGCACCCACACUGAAGCUCCGGUGCCUGGGGAGCCUAUGUUCUCUUCUGCCCCACCUUCCCGGCUUUCUGGUCUUCUCCAGCCUGGCACACGUGGGGCACACAGACACAUGGGCAGGAGAAGGCACUCCUACAUGGUAAAUAAAAAUAAGCAAAAAUCCCA